AUUCUUCACGUUUCUCAGCUGCCUGGUUGACGAAACAGGCCCCGGAGGCCUCUGAGCUGGAGCUGACCUGAGCGGCCCGGCCUGAACACUAGCUUUCACGGAACCAGAAGGCACCAUGCAAGUUUCCGAAGGAGGGAAGCGAGCAACAGUCCCAUCUAACUAUAACACGAAUGAGCCGCAUCAACAACCAGCAUGGCGUGGUAACCCUAAGGGGGCAGUAGUGGCACACAUGCCUUGGCAGUAACCAUCAGGUCUCCAGUUGGAUUUAAGACAAGUCCAAGGCUCAACAAGAAGGAAUUCAUGUCUAAUACAGCUAACUACUAGCUAGCCUAAUCUAGCUAAAGACUCAGUGCUGGUUAGAGUCUUGGUUAACUGGAGAAGAGUCUAGAACCAUUAAUUUACUAAACCAGCACACUCCCUAAAAAUCGAAAAACAUUUGUUCUUAUACCUACAGGUAACUGUAGUCUUUACAUCAAGGAAAGUGCUGUUUGGAACAUAUGGAGACCACUACAAAAAACCCUCAGCCAAUCAAAGUGCAGGUUUGUGGACUCCAGUCCCUGUGGAUACAUCUACAAAAUCCUCCCACGUGUAAGGCUGAGAGAGCAUUGUGAAGAGGGGGCAGAAAGAUUGCAAGAGCCAGGGGAUCAGGGACUUUGAUCUAAGAUUGUGUCUCCUAGUAAUAUCAGAAGCUGUACUCAUGAAGUCUCACCACUAAGACUGUCCAAGUGUGAGCUGAACAAGGAUGGCACCAGUGGACAUGACAGAUUGGAUAGGGGAAAGCCCAUGAAGUCUCAGCCCCACAUAAAGAGCUCUAGGCACCUGAAUAAAGCAGAGAGUGGGAUGGGGUGGACCUCCCCAGGGAAGAGCAUACCAGAUGGUUGCCAAGUGCCACACUGCCAGCCCUGUAAACACACAUACAAUUAAUCAGACUAGCUAAACAGGUUGCAUUCCUGAAUACGUUCUAUCUAUCUAUCUAUCUAUCUAUCUAUC
rnacentral:lncRNA from 1 species